GUCUCUGUAGCUCAGCUGGAUAGAGCGACCGCCUCCUAAGCGGUAGGCCGGAGGUUCGAAUCCUCUCAGGGACGCCA
rnacentral:tRNA from 1 species